rnacentral:lncRNA from 1 species
CUCGAUACCAAUAUUAAUUGGAGAAGAAUGUGAACUGAUGUAUUUCAUUGCACCAAAUCACAGUCUUAAAAUAGACAAAUAAAGAGAUAUUACAAUCAGUUUUAAGAUUGCACAUAAUAACUUCCCAUAAAGUGGAGGUAACUUGUUAAACUAAUCACUUAACCACUAACACAACACAUAAACUCAAUAAAAUAUAAAAAAAAUAUCUAACAUCUUGUUCAUUAAAUCAUGGAUGCCUAGCGCAAUUGUUGCGUAGUGAUGGUAAUUAGGUAGAUGAUAAUGAACCACAGAGAUAACAUCAAGUGAGUUGUUGUAGCAAUUAAAAUUUCUGUAGCCCAACUCCUAAGUCAAAUGAAGCUCGUGCCACAAUACCAUGAGCUCACAUAUAGAUUACAAGCAAUACCAGCUGAUCUAUUAAAACUUGCAAUCCAAUUCUCAUCACUGUUGCGAAGGAGGUCACCAUGGUCUGCCUUCCCUUGGUUUCCCAAGGAACUCCCAUCCGCAUUCAGAACAAUGAAGUCACUACACGGUUUAAUCCGUUG